UCCUAGCUGUAAACGAUGAGCACUUGGUCGAGGGGACCUCCACAUCCUCUCGGCCGUAGCGAAAGUAUUAAGUGCUCCGCCUGGGGAGUAUGGUCGCAAGGCUAAAACUCAAAGGAAUUGACGGGGGCUCACACAAGCGGUGGAGGAUGUGGCUUAAUUCGAGGCUACGCGAAGAACCUUAUCCUGGUCUUGACAUGUUUAGGAAUCUUUCUGAAAGGAAAGAGUGCCUUCGGGAGCCUUUACACAGGUGCUGCAUGGCUGUCGUCAGCUCGUGUCGUGAGAUGUCGGGUUAAGUCCC
rnacentral:rRNA from 1 species